GAGGAUGAGAACCUCCGGGGGCAAGAGGUUCGACCCGAGCGAAGCGAGAGAACGUUGCGUCAGCAACGGCCCGCAGGGCGAGCCAUCCUC
rnacentral:sRNA from 2 species